CAAUGGGAGGGGGAACCCCGGGAACUGGGGAUAAUACCCCAUAGACUAUAGAUGCUGGAAUGCUUUGUAGUUGAAAGGUCCGCCGCCAUAGGAUGGGUCUGCGGCCGAUUAGGUUGUUGUUGGGGUAACGGCCCAACAAGCCUUUGAUCGGUACGGGUUGUGGGAGCAAGAGCCCGGAGAUGGAUUCUGAGACACGAAUCCAGGCCCUACGGGGCGCAGCAGGCGCGAAAACUUUACAAUGCGAGAAAUCGUGAUAAGGGAACCCCGAGUGCCCGUAAAUCCGGGCUGUCCACCAGUGUAAAUAACUGGUGAAGAAAGGGCCGGGCAAGACCGGUGCCAGCCGCCGCGGUAAUACCGGCGGCUCGAGUGGUGGCCGCUAUUACUGGGCUUAAAGCGUUCGUAGCUGGGCUGUUAAGUCCCCUGGGAAAUCCACCGGCUCAACCGAUGGGCGUUCAGGGGAUACUGGCAGCCUAGGGACCGGGAGAGGUGAGGGGUACUCCAGGGGUAGGAGUGAAAUCCUGUAAUCCUUGGGGGACCACCUGUGGCGAAGGCGUCUCACUAGAACGGCUCCGACAGUGAGGAACGAAAGCUGGGGGAGCAAACCGGAUUAGAUACCCGGGUAGUCCCAGCUGUAAACGAUGCGCGUUAGGUGUAUCGGUGACCACGAGUCACCGAGGUGCCGAAGAGAAAUCGUGAAACGUGCCGCCUGGGAAGUACGGUCGCAAGGCUGAAACUUAAAGGAAUUGGCGGGGGAGCAC
rnacentral:rRNA from 1 species